AGAGUUUGAUCAUGGCUCAGGAUGAACGCUAGCGGCAGGCCUAACACAUGCAAGUCGAGGGGUAGAGUUCUUCGGGACUUGAGACCGGCGCACGGGUGCGUAACGCGUAUGCAAUCUACCUUAUACAGGGGAAUAGCCCAGAGAAAUUUGGAUUAAUGCCCCAUAGUGUUAUCGAAUCGCAUGGUUUGAUAACUAAAGUUCCAACGGUAUAAGAUGAGCAUGCGUCCCAUUAGUUAGUUGGUAAGGUAACGGCUUACCAAGACAAUGAUGGGUAGGGGUCCUGAGAGGGAGAUCCCCCACACUGGUACUGAGACACGGACCAGACUCCUACGGGAGGCAGCAGUGAGGAAUAUUGGUCAAUGGGCGCAAGCCUGAACCAGCCAUGCCGCGUGCAGGAAGACGGUCCUAUGGAUUGUAAACUGCUUUUAUACAGGAAGAAACCCUCCCACGUGUGGGAGCUUGACGGUACUGUAGGAAUAAGGAUCGGCUAACUCCGUGUC
rnacentral:rRNA from 1 species